rnacentral:snRNA from 1 species
GUGCCUGUUUGGGCAGCACAUAUACCAAAAUUGGAAUGACACAGAAAAGAUUAGCUUGGCCCCUGAGCGAGGAUGACACACAAAUUUGCAAAGAAUUUCAUAUUAUU